AGCCAGUUUUAAUGGGCCACUCAGAGGAGCUCUCACAGAAACCACACCCACUCGGGAGUGAAACACGCCAGACCGGCGCUUAACUCCUGCGUGUGUGUG